rnacentral:misc_RNA from 1 species
GAAGGAUCUCUGCCAAUCGAUUUAAAGAACUUGUCGAGAUUACUGGUAUUAAUGGAUAUUGAUGUUUCAUUUGACAAAGGGUGGAAGAAGCAAAAUUCCUGGCUUUUAAAUCCCUGGUCCAACAACAAGGCAACAUCCCGUGCUGUUUUAUUGAUGAGUGCAAAUGGAGUAACACAACCCAGGGACACCUUAAGUUUUUCACCCAAUGCUUCCUCGGGAGCCAUUCUCAGCCCUCCUUUACCCAAACCAAGUCUUGCAGAUAGAACUUUUAGGUCCACUUUGGUGUCUGCCAAUGCAGAAACAAUAUAGUAUCUAUUCUUUUUGUCCUUCAAAAACAGAUUCUUGCUGAGUCCACCCCCCAAAUUUCCAACAUAUUUGGCCUGAGCUUCAACUGUCAAUACAGCAGGAUGUUCGUACCUGGAAAAAUCAACUUGAAGAUCCUGCAACAGCGCGA